GACGAACGCUGGCGGCGUGCCUAAUACAUGCAAGUCGAACGCAGUGGGGACGGGGGAGUAACACGUGGGUAACCUCCCAUCAGAGGGGAUAACCCUUGGAAACAGGUGCUAAACCGAUACUGAUGGAUGGAGCCGCGGUGCAUUAGCUAGUUGGUGAGGUAACGGCUCACCAAGGCUACGAUGCAUACCCGGCCUGAGAGGGUGAUCGGCCACACUGGAACUGAGACACGGCCCAGACUCCUACGGGAGGCAGCAGUAGGGAAUCUUCGGCAAUGGACGAAAGUCUGACCGAGCAACGCCGCGUGAGUGAAGAAGGUUUUCGGAUCGUAAAACUCUGUUGUUAGGGAGGCGGUAUCUAACCAGAAAGCCACGGCUAACUACGUGCCAGCAGCCGCGGUAAUAC
rnacentral:rRNA from 1 species